rnacentral:rRNA from 14 species
GCCUAUGCCCACACCACCCUGAAAACACCCAAUCUCAUCUGCUCUCGGAAGCUAAGCAGGGUCAGGCUCAGCUAGUACUUGGUAUGGAGGACGACAGCUGAAGUACAAAUAUGGGGAGGCC